rnacentral:lncRNA from 1 species
GUGAGCUGGCUUCAUUGUUCUCAGGCUUGUAGUGAGAAGAAACAUCUUGGUAGAGGAACAAGAUUGAGGAAGACUGUUUAUCUAAUGUCAACCUGAAAACCGAGAGAGCAAGAUAUGGACAAGACAGAUGCUUUAAGGAAAACCACCAGUGAUGUACUUCUCCAAUUGGGCCCAGCUACUACAGUUUUCACUACCUUCCAAGAAUGUUAUCAAAUUAUGAAUCUAUAAAUGGAUUAGUCCACUGAUGAGGUAAGAGCUGUCAUGUACAAUUACAUUCCCAAAGAUCCACCUGUAAACAUUGCUGCACUGGGGCGAAGCCUUCAACAUAUGAGCCUUUGGGGACCUUUCAGGUCAAAACCAUAACACAUGGAUAUAUUCUCAACCUCUCAACUCUCCCAUUCUCCCUCCUUUCGAGCCUGCCUUUGACAUUAAUAAAUCACCUGGUGUUUGAAAGCACAUUAAUUGCAACUAUUCUUCUGAAAUAAUCAAUUUUCUCAUAGCUCUGUUCAGAAAUAUUGAAAAGUGAACCUGUUCUAUAUAAAUUGUUGGAUACUAAAAUCCAUUGGGGGGAAAAAAGCACUUAAAACUUUUGUAAAAUAUUCAGCCAAAAAUGGUGGGGAAAUUAUAUAAUAAGUUCUAAAAUCUUGAUUCUGCACGAAACUGGCAAAAUCAGUUAGAAUUAAAUUUAUAAAUAUUUACAACAGAAGUUUAUACUAGCUAUAUUAUUUUAUAAGUGGAAAUUAUAAAAAAGUAUCUAAUAAAAUAGAGUCAACUAGAAAUUUUGCAAUUAAAAACAAAAUAAUUAAAAUUAAAUUGUUUUAUUAGAGGAAUUCAACAGAUGCAUAAAGAGUGGCUGUGAGAGCACACAUAGAAACGUUACAGUUCUGAGGUUCAGAGCAGCAUGAUAGUGGGGACCAGACAGCCAUGAUUCAGGCUGGCGCAUUAGCAACUCUUUAGGGGAGACACAUAGUAGCAUCUCUUGCAUUUUCCAGGGAGUCCAUGGCCAUUAGUUACCUGAGCAGUGAGUGUUACUGUUGUCCUUUAUGGAGUGGGCUGUUGAGAUGAGUCCUGACAAACACAAGGUCCUCUUUUGUGAAAGGUGGGGGUAGUCUGCAUAUGUCAUGGAGAUCAUGAGGUCUUUGGUUAAAAAGGCUGGCAGUCAGUCCUUUGCAGAGCAGAUCACUGAGGGCUAUGGUGGCACUGACAGUAUGGCUCAUAACAGAUGAUUCCUGCUCUUCCUUUCUUUAUUCCUGGCCAUUUUCAGAUGUUCCUGUUAUGCCAAUCUCCCUAGUGAUCCUUUCGGUGCAGUUAUUUUCUAUAUUUUUUUCUCCACUCUGUUGUUUUAGGUCUUAAUUGGACUUUUGAUCUGAGUUUGUUUUACAAUUUUGCUCAAUACUUUGUAUUUUACUGAUUGUCUAUGAAAUAUUGUGAUAUCAGUUAUUGAGAAAGAGGUAUUGAAAUCCCCCAAUACUACUUUUGGAUCAAUUUCUUUUGUCUUAUAGUUACAUUAGUUUUUGCUUUAUAUUUCUGAAGCUUUCUUAUUAGUACAGAAGUUUCAGAUUGCUGUUUUAUUGAUCAAUUGACCUCCUUAUAUUAUAAAACAAUCAAUUUUCUUCCAAGUAAAUUCUUUUCUUUUAAAAUUCAAUGUCUGAUUCUGAUGUUUUCAUAGUCCCCAUAGGCUUCUUCUGUUUAGUAUUAACAUGACUCAUGGCUACCCAGUGAAUUCUCCAGUGUGGGAUCUAGGCUCCCUCCUGUGGUCUUUUGAUGGUGUUUUAUUGCAAAGGAAACCCUUGAAAUACUGUCCAGAGAUUUCUUCUAUUGCCUGUUGAAUGAUGAAUUGAAACAAUUUGCAGGGAAUUAAAAAAACAAAACCAAAAAACACUUGCUCUCAGAAAGACAAACAAACAUUGUCUAAACAUUAGGAAAAUAUAUUUGAAUUAAACCCCUAAAUUUUCUACUGAGUAAAAUUAAAAAGUUAAAAUUUGUUGGAAGUGCAGUUUUCAUCACUGAUGUGAACAAGUAUAUAAAUCCAUCUUAAAUUAAGUUAAUGAGCACAGUCUGUUUCAUUUUCUUUGCUUAGGCUAAAUAAAUUAUCAUUUACAUUAAAAUCAACUGUUUUCUCUUAAUUCCAACUCCCUAAUAUCAAUAUUAAAAACACAGUAAUUCUUUUCAAUUCACCAGACUGUUACUGAAAUCUAAUUAUUUGUUUUCCUUCUUUAUGAGAUUAAAAAGUAGAUCCCCACAAACAAACAAAACCCAGUUAUCUCUAAACUAAUUAAAAACACAUUUAAAGUUGACAGUUGAUUUUAGUGUGAGGGGAAAAAAAGCCAGAUGCAGCCUUAUUAAAAUAAAGUUGUUUUUUUUUUUGUCUUUGAAGGAAAAAAAUCAACAUUUGCAUCAAAGAAAUGGUGAUUCAGCCACUGGCAGUCUAGAUGGUAGCCCUUCUGCCUCUCUGGAACCCUCUCCAAUCUAUAAGCUCAUGCAUCUUUUGUGAUCUACAGUGGCCUGAAACUACCAGAUCUUUCUGGAUGGUUCAUGGAAAGAACCUAGAUCCCACGCAGUGAGAGUUGCCUAUGCUCCAAACUUCUCCAGGUAGAAAUAUGGUCCAGUGAGCUCUACCUGCUCUCUUACGCCAUCUUCUCACUGGAUCUGCUGUAAACUAGUGAAUGACUGAGCCAUAUCCACUGAAGCUUACUGAGGAAAAGCCCAGAAAGCUGAGUCUGGUUUCACAUGUACCCUUAAGUAUGAGAUUCAUCACUACUCUGGUCACUGCCCAGGCCUGAAGCUUGAUCUGCUUAUAGACUGUGUACUCUUUCUGUCAUCAGCAGCACAGGUUGGGUGAUUGUGUGCUUCAGUUAUUCCAUUUUAUCUCUAGUCCACAUUAGCCCAGAAAAGAUAAUUGCUAUAUACAGUUUCCAUGUAUCAUAAAAACUCCCUGAGGUGUCGAGUCUUAUCACUUUUUGUGCCCUCAAGUCCCAAAAGUGUUAUAUAUGAGAUAAAAUAAUUGAUCUAGUGAGCAUAAAGAAUAUAAUGAUAGGUCUUUACAUGUAGAUAAUAAUAAACCUGACAUUAUUACCUAGAAAUUCAGGGGUCAUCAAGGGCUUUAAUUUAGAUUACUUCAUUUGGUAACUAUAGAAAACCUGAGGGUAGGUUUCCUAAACUCUAGCAUCGUGAAAACAAGUUCUAUCUCAUAUAUGCAUAUAUGAUAAUCUUGAAUAAACCACAGCUUAGAUUCUCAUGUUUCUUAACUAUCUAAGUGGUUGACAAUGUACCAUCAGCCUUAAUUUAACACUAAAUUGGAAAUAAUUGCAGCAUCUAUAUCAUCAGAUUAAACACACUUAUAGACUAGCCAUAUGGAAAACACAGGUACAAGAAAUGGUCACCUGAAAUUCAAAUACUAAAUAAUAAUCAUCAUUAUUUAUCUUCAGGAAUGAAUUCUGACUUAAAGUUUAUUUUAAGAAAGAUCAAACUACAUUACUUUAAUGUUAGCCUUUCUUGCUAAAAUCAUAUGUAAGCAUGAUAAUUUUCAAGCAAUAAAUAAAUAAUCUGUAAACUUAAAAAAUAUGUUUCAAGUGGAAGAAAUGGGCAAUAGGACUGAAGAAGAAUUUGUGGGACAAGACUGGAGGUCCUCGAUGGUUAGAGGGCAGUAAAAGGUAAGCUCUUGUCACCUGAGCUCUUGAGGAGAGGGACUGUGUCCCUAUAUGCACACACAUAUUUUAUGAAAACUGUAGGGCCAAUAGUGAUGUCUUGAGGCAUUAUAUCUUGGUCCAACCUAACUGAAUAUGAAAGGCAAGCAGUGACAAGUCAGAGAAAGUAGCUGACUUAAAGAUGUGAGGCUGUUUAAUAAUCUCCUGGGGACUUGACAGACCAGGUCUUUGGAUCUGUGGGUGUUAUCGUCCUAGAACAAAACUACAAAGAUAACAAAAAAAUUAGGUAAGAUCAUAGAUGAAGUGCGAAUUUCUUACUGACAGGAUAAGUGUAUGUGAACUGUUGGUAAAGUAUCUGUUUCUUUCACAAGGAAUCAUGCCUUAAUUUUUCUUUGAUUUCUUGACAAACACUGCUCUCUUGUGGACCUAGAGAAAAUGUUAGUAUUAGCAUUUUGUUGUUCUUUUUAAUUAUACAUGACAGUAGAAUGUAUGGAGUAUAUCUAAUUCUAAUUAGUAUCACAGUCUUAUGAAUAUAUAUGAUAUUGAGAUUCACUGAGGUAUAUUCAUAUACAUACCUAGGCAAGUUGUGUCAGAUUCAUUCCACUGUCUUUCCUAUACCUGUCCCCACUCCCUUCCCUUUAUUCCCCUUUGUCUAAUCCACUGAACUUUUAGGGAACAUUAAAAUGCUGGAUUUCAUAUUCCUGCUUUCAAAUGCAGCCCAUAUAUUUUUUUCUUUCUUUUAGAUAAAAGAAUUUGUGUAGAUUUAGUAGGUAUCUGUGUAUUUUCUUAUGUAUUUAGUUAAUG